UUAAGCGACUAAGCGUACACGGUGGAUGCCCUGGCAGUCAGAGGCGAUGAAGGACGUGCUAAUCUGCGAUAAGCGUCGGUAAGGUGAUAUGAACCGUUAUAACCGGCGAUUUCCGAAUGGGGAAACCCAGUGCAAUUCGUUGCACUAUCAUUACGUGAAUACAUAGCGUAAUGAAGCGAACCGGGGGAACUGAAACAUCUAAGUACCCGAGGAAAAGAAAUCAACCGAGAUUCCCCCAGUAGCGGCGAGCGAACGGGGAGCAGCCCAGAGUCUGAAUCAGCUUGUGUGUUAGUGGAACGGUCUGGAAAGUCCGACGGUACAGGGUGAUAGUCCCGUACACCAAAACACACAGGUUGUGAACUCGAAGAGUAGGGCGGGACACGUGGUAUCCUGUCUGAAUAUGGGGGGACCAUCCUCCAAGGCUAAAUACUCCUGACUGACCGAUAGUGAACCAGUACCGUGAGGGAAAGGCGAAAAGAACCCCGGCGAGGGGAGUGAAAAAGAACCUGAAACCGUGUACGUACAAGCAGUGGGAGCCUCUUUAUGGGGUGACUGCGUACCUUUUGUAUAAUGGGUCAGCGACUUAUAUUCUGUAGCAAGGUUAACCGAAUAGGGGAGCCGAAGGGAAACCGAGUCUUAACUGGGCGUUAAGUUGCAGGGUAUAGACCCGAAACCCGGUGAUCUAGCCAUGGGCAGGUUGAAGGUUGGGUAACACUAACUGGAGGACCGAACCGACUAAUGUUGAAAAAUUAGCGGAUGACUUGUGGCUGGGGGUGAAAGGCCAAUCAAACCGGGAGAUAGCUGGUUCUCCCCGAAAGCUAUUUAGGUAGCGCCUCGUGAACUCAUCUUCGGGGGUAGAGCACUGUUUCGGCUAGGGGGUCAUCCCGACUUACCAACCCGAUGCAAACUGCGAAUACCGAAGAAUGUUAUCACGGGAGACACACGGCGGGUGCUAACGUCCGUCGUGAAGAGGGAAACAACCCAGACCGCCAGCUAAGGUCCCAAAGUCAUGGUUAAGUGGGAAACGAUGUGGGAAGGCACAGACAGCCAGGAUGUUGGCUUAGAAGCAGCCAUCAUUUAAAGAAAGCGUAAUAGCUCACUGGUCGAGUCGGCCUGCGCGGAAGAUGUAACGGGGCUAAACCAUGCACCGAAGCUGCGGCAGCGACACUAUGUGUUGUUGGGUAGGGGAGCGUUCUGUAAGCCGUUGAAGGUGUGCUGUGAGGCAUGCUGGAGGUAUCAGAAGUGCGAAUGCUGACAUAAGUAACGAUAAUGCGGGUGAAAAACCCGCACGCCGGAAGACCAAGGGUUCCUGUCCAACGUUAAUCGGGGCAGGGUGAGUCGACCCCUAAGGCGAGGCCGAAAGGCGUAGUCGAUGGGAAACAGGUUAAUAUUCCUGUACUUGGUGUUACUGCGAAGGGGGGACGGAGAAGGCUAUGUUGGCCGGGCGACGGUUGUCCCGGUUUAAGCGUGUAGGUGUGUGUUCCAGGUAAAUCCGGAAUGCUUUAACACUGAGGCGUGAUGACGAGGCACCACGGUGCUGAAGUGACAAAUGCCCUGCUUCCAGGAAAAGCCUCUAAGCAUCAGGUAACACGAAAUCGUACCCCAAACCGACACAGGUGGUCAGGUAGAGAAUACCAAGGCGCUUGAGAGAACUCGGGUGAAGGAACUAGGCAAAAUGGUGCCGUAACUUCGGGAGAAGGCACGCUGAUAUGUAGGUGAAGUGAUUUACUCAUGGAGCUGAAAUCAGUCGAAGAUACCAGCUGGCUGCAACUGUUUAUUAAAAACACAGCACUGUGCAAACACGAAAGUGGACGUAUACGGUGUGACGCCUGCCCGGUGCCGGAAGGUUAAUUGAUGGGGUUAUCCGUAAGGAGAAGCUCUUGAUCGAAGCCCCGGUAAACGGCGGCCGUAACUAUAACGGUCCUAAGGUAGCGAAAUUCCUUGUCGGGUAAGUUCCGACCUGCACGAAUGGCGUAAUGAUGGCCAGGCUGUCUCCACCCGAGACUCAGUGAAAUUGAACUCGCUGUGAAGAUGCAGUGUACCCGCGGCAAGACGGAAAGACCCCGUGAACCUUUACUAUAGCUUGACACUGAACACUGGUCCUUGAUGUGUAGGAUAGGUGGGAGGCUUUGAAGUGUGGACGCCAGUCUGCAUGGAGCCGACCUUGAAAUACCACCCUUUAAUGGCUGGUGUUCUAACGUGGGCCCGUGAUCCGGGUUGCGGACAGUGUCUGGUGGGUAGUUUGACUGGGGCGGUCUCCUCCCAAAGAGUAACGGAGGAGCACGAAGGUUAGCUAAUCCUGGUCGGACAUCAGGAGGUUAGUGCAAAGGCAUAAGCUAGCUUGACUGCGAGAGUGACGGCUCGAGCAGGUGCGAAAGCAGGUCUUAGUGAUCCGGUGGUUCUGAAUGGAAGGGCCAUCGCUCAACGGAUAAAAGGUACUCCGGGGAUAACAGGCUGAUACCGCCCAAGAGUUCAUAUCGACGGCGGUGUUUGGCACCUCGAUGUCGGCUCAUCACAUCCUGGGGCUGAAGUAGGUCCCAAGGGUAUGGCUGUUCGCCAUUUAAAGUGGUACGCGAGCUGGGUUUAGAACGUCGUGAGACAGUUCGGUCCCUAUCUGCCGUGGGCGCUGGAGAAUUGAGGGGGGCUGCUCCUAGUACGAGAGGACCGGAGUGGACGCAUCACUGGUGUUCGGGUUGUCAUGCCAAUGGCACUGCCCGGUAGCUAAAUGCGGAAGAGAUAAGUGCUGAAAGCAUCUAAGCACGAAACUUGCCCCGAGAUGAGUUCUCCCUGACCCUUUAAGGGUCCUGAAGGAACGUUGAAGACGACGACGUUGAUAGGCCGGGUGUGUAAGCGCAGCGAUGCGUUGAGCUAACCGGUACUAAUGAACCGUGAGGCUUAACCUU
rnacentral:rRNA from 1 species